rnacentral:rRNA from 1 species
UACGUAGGGUGCAAGCGUUGUCCGGAAUUAUUGGGCGUAAAGAGCUCGUAGGCGGUGUGUCGCGUCGGCCGUGAAAACCUGCAGCUUAACUGUGGGCGUGCGGUCGAUACGGGCAUCACUGGAGUUCGGCAGGGGAGACUGGAAUUCCUGGUGUAGCGGUGAAAUGCGCAGAUAUCAGGAGGAACACCGGUGGCGAAGGCGGGUCUCUGGGCCGAUACUGACGCUGAGGAGCGAAAGCGUGGGGAGCGAACAGG